UACGUAGGGUGCGAGCGUUAAUCGGAAUUACUGGGCGUAAAGCGUGCGCAGGCGGUUUUGUAAGCCAGAUGUGAAAUCCCCGGGCUUAACCUGGGAACUGCAUUUGGGACUGCAAGGCUUGAGUGCGGCAGAGGAGACUGGAAUUCCCGGUGUAGCAGUGAAAUGCGUAGAUAUCGUAAGGAAGACCAGUGGCGAAGGCGGGUCUCUGGACAGUCCCUGACGCUGAGGCACGAAGGCCAGGGGAGCAAACGGG
rnacentral:rRNA from 1 species